CUUUCUGACUCCACUCUUCCUACUCUGGCUUGCUAAUCAACUUUACCUGGUUUGAAAUGCCCACCCUUAUAUACAGGCAAUUAUGUGGAUUAGAAAUUAAGGAUGAAAUAUCUUCCCAAAAGGUCACUGUUAAGAUUUACCCAUCAUCUUGGUGCUCCUAGCUCUCUACCACCAACACAGAGUGGCUGACACUUCAAUCAGGCAGCUUGGAUUGCAAUGAGGACAAUGCAAUGCAUUCGGGCUGGAAACACUGCACAG
rnacentral:lncRNA from 1 species